AAAAAGGGUUUCGUAGGUCGAGUUCAGCCUACAACAGCGGCGCGCAAGCGCCUGCUAGUCAGCCCUUCAGCGGGCUGGCGACACGCUCAAUGUGCGGAGAGAGCCUGGCUUCAGGCAAAUCCGCAGCCCACCGCCCCUACCCGGCGGUCGGCUCAGAGACUCAAUGAGUGUGGGUUUGGCGCCUAGCUAAGCUUAAGAUAGAGCCCAGCCCGGCAUGCAAUUGCUGGGAGCAACUGGAACCUGCGGAAGGAUCAUUAAAGAAUACAGGCUUCACGGCCGCUAUUCUCACCCUCUGUAUACAAAAACUUGUUGCUUUGGCAGGCCUCUGGCGAAAGCUAGGCCGCGCCUGCCAGAGGACUGAAACCCUAGAAUUAUUGCUGUCUGAGUACUAUAUUAAUAGUUAAAACUUUCAACAACGGAUCUCUUGGUUUUGGCAUCGAUGAAGAACGCAGCGAAAUGCGAUAAGUAAUGUGAAUUGCAGAAUUCAGUGAAUCAUCGAAUCUUUGAACGCAUAUUGCGCCUCCUGGUAUUCCGGGAGGCAUGCCUGUUUGAGCGUCAUUACAACCCUCACGCUUCGCGUGGUAUUGGGCUCGCCGUUUAGGCCUGCCUCAAAAUCAGUGGCGGCGAUAUCGAACCCCUAAGCGUAGUAAUACUCGCAGCUUCUGGGAGGCGGUGGCAGCUAGCUAGUAACCCCCAAUUUACAAAGGUUGACCUCAGAUCAGGUAGGGAUACCCGCUGAACUUAAGCAUAUCAAAA
rnacentral:rRNA from 1 species